rnacentral:rRNA from 1 species
CGUGAGUAACCUGCCCUUGACUCUGGGAUAAGCGUUGGAAACGACGUCUAAUACCGGAUACGAGCUUCCACCGCAUGGUGAGUUGCUGGAAAGAAUUUUGGUCAAGGAUGGACUCGCGGCCUAUCAGCUUGUUGGUGAGGUAAUGGCUCACCAAGGCGACGACGGGUAGCCGGCCUGAGAGGGUGACCGGCCACACUGGGACUGAGACACGGCCCAGACUCCUACGGGAGGCAGCAGUGGGGAAUAUUGCACAAUGGGCGAAAGCCUGAUGCAGCAACGCCGCGUGAGGGACGACGGCCUUCGGGUUGUAAACCUCUUUUAGCAGGGAAGAAGCGAAAGUGACGGUACCUGCAGAAAAAGCACCGGCUAACUACGUGCCAGCAGCCGCGGUAAUACGUAGGGUGCAAGCGUUGUCCGGAAUUAUUGGGCGUAAAGAGCUCGUAGGCGGUUUGUCGCGUCUGCUGUGAAAUCCCGAGGCUCAACCUCGGGUCUGCAGUGGGUACGGGCAGACUAGAGUGCGGUAGGGGAGAUUGGAAUUCCUGGUGUAGCGGUGGAAUGCGCAGAUAUCAGGAGGAACACCGAUGGCGAAGGCAGAUCUCUGGGCCGUUACUGACGCUGAGGAGCGAAAGGGUGGGGAGCAAACAGGCUUAGAUACCCUGGUAGUCCACCCCGUAAACGUUGGGCGCUAGAUGUGGGGACCAUUCCACGGUUUCCGUGUCGUAGCUAACGCAUUAAGCGCCCCGCCUGGGGAGUACGGCCGCAAGGCUAAAACUCAAAGGAAUUGACGGGGGCCCGCACAAGCGGCGGAGCAUGCGGAUUAAUUCGAUGCAACGCGAAGAACCUUACCAAGGCUUGACAUAUACGAGAACGGGCCAGAAAUGGUCAACUCUUUGGACACUCGUAAACAGGUGGUGCAUGGUUGUCGUCAGCUCGUGUCGUGAGAUGUUGGGUUAAGUCCCGCAACGAGCGCAACCCUCGUUCUAUGUUGCCAGCACGUAAUGGUGGGAACUCAUGGGAUACUGCCGGGGUCAACUCGGAGGAAGGUGGGGACGACGUCAAAUCAUCAUGCCCCUUAUGUCUUGGGCUUCACGCAUGCUACAAUGGCCAGUACAAAGGGCUGCAAUACCGUAAGGUGGAGCGAAUCCCAAAAAGCUGGUCCCAGUUCGGAUUGAGGUCUGCAACUCGACCUCAUGAAGUCGGAGUCGCUAGUAAUCGCAGAUCAGCAACGCUGCGGUGAAUACGUUCCCGGGCCUUGUACACACCGCCCGUCAAGUCAUGAAAGUCGGUAACACCCGAAGCCAGUGGCCUAACCGCAAGGAUGGAGCUGUCUAAAGGUGGGAUUGGUAAUUAGGACUAAGUCGUAACAA